rnacentral:rRNA from 1 species
UACGUAGGAUGCAAGCGUUAUCCGGAUUUAUUGGGUUUAAAGGGUGCGUAGGCGGGUUCUUAAGCGUGAGGUGAAAUGCUCCGGCUCAACCGGAGAACUGCCUCGCGAACUGGGAGUCUUGAAUGCUCCUGCCGUGGGAGGAAUGUGUGGUGUUGCGGUGAAACGCAUAGAGAUCACACAGAACACCGAUUGCGAAGGCAUCUCACGAAGGGGUGAUUGACGCUGAGGCACGAAAGCGUGGGGAUCAAAC